UACGAAGGGGGGCUAGCGUUGCUCGGAAUCACUGGGCGUAAAGGGUGCGUAGGCGGGUCUUUAAGUCAGGGGUGAAAUCCUGGAGCUCAACUCCAGAACUGCCCUUGAUACUGGCGAUCUCGAGUUCGGGAGAGGUGAGUGGAACUGCGAGUGUAGAGGUGAAAUUCGUAGAUAUUCGCAAGAACACCAGUGGCGAAGGCGGCUCACUGGCCCGGUACUGACGCUGAGGCACGAAAGCGUGGGGAGCAAACAGG
rnacentral:rRNA from 1 species